rnacentral:lncRNA from 1 species
CCCAAACACACUGUGAUCUCCUCACUCCCCUCAGCCCCCAAAUACACUGUGAUCUCCUCACUCCCCUCAGCAUCCAAACACACUGCGAUCUCCUCACUCCCCUCGGCACCCAAACACACUGUGAUCUCCUCACUCCCCUCGGCACCCAAACACACUGCGAUCUCCUCACUCCCCUCGGCAUCCAAACACACUGUGAUCUCCUCACUCCCCUCGGCACCCAAACACACUGUGAUCUCCUCACUCCCCUCAGCCCCCAAAUACACUGUGAUCUCCUCACUCCCCUCACACCCAAACUCACCGUGAUCUCCUCACUCCCCUCAUCAUCCAAACACACUGUGAUCUCCUCACAGCCCUCAGC